AUGCACGCUGGCGGCGUGCCUAAUACCUGCCAGUCGAGCGAACGGACGAGAAGCUUGCUUUUCUGAUGUUAGCGGCGGACGGGUGAGUAACACGUGGAUAACCUACCUAUAGGACUGGGAUAACUUCGGGAAACCGGAGCUAAUACCGGAUAAUAUUUUGAACCGCAUGGUUCAAAAGUGAAAGACGGUCUCGCUGUCACUUAUAGAUGGAUCCGCGCUGCAUUAGCUAGUUGGUAAGGUAACGGCUUACCAAGGCAACGAUGCAUAGCCGACCUGAGAGGGUGAUCGGCCACACUGGAACUGAGACACGGUCCAGACUCCUACGGGAGGCAGCAGUAGGGAAUCUUCCGCAAUGGGCGAAAGCCUGACGGAGCAACGCCGCGUGAGUGAUGAAGGUCUUCGGAUCGUAAAACUCUGUUAUUAGGGAAGAACAUAUGUGUAAGUAACUGUGCACAUCUUGACGGUACCUAAUCAGAAAGCCACGGCUAACUACGUG
rnacentral:rRNA from 1 species